rnacentral:rRNA from 1 species
GUUGACCUCGGAUCAGGUAGGGAUACCCGCUGAACUUAAGCAUAUCAAUAAGCGGAGGAAAAGAAACCAACAGGGAUUGCUCUAGUAACGGCGAGUGAAGCAGCAAUAGCUCAAAUUUGAAAUCUGGCGUCUUCGACGUCCGAGUUGUAAUUUGUAGAGGAUGCUUCUGAGUAACCACCGACCUAAGUUCCUUGGAACAGGACGUCAUAGA